CCUACGGGAGGCAGCAGUGGGGAAUAUUGCACAAUGGGGGAAACCCUGAUGCAGCGACGCCGCGUGAGUGAAGAAGUAUUUCGGUAUGUAAAGCUCUAUCAGCAGGGAAGAAACCCACCCUCCGGGGUGGCUGACGGUACCUGACUAAGAAGCCCCGGCUAACUACGUGCCAGCAGCCGCGGUAAUACGUAGGGGGCAAGCGUUAUCCGGAUUUACUGGGUGUAAAGGGAGCGUAGGUGGCAAGGCAAGUCAGAUGUGAAAACCCGGGGCCCAACCCCGGGAGUGCAUUUGAAACUGUCUGGCUAGAGUGCAGGAGAGGUAAGUGGAAUUCCUAGUGUAGCGGUGAAAUGCAUAGAUAUUAGGAGGAACACCAGUGGCGAAGGCGACCUGCUAGAACAUAACUGACGCUGAUGCGCGAAAGCGUGGGGAGCAAACAGGAUUAGAUACCCUUGUAGUC
rnacentral:rRNA from 1 species